AGUGAACGCUGGCGGUAGGCCUAACACAUGCAAGUCGAACGGCAGCACAGUAAGAGCUUGCUCUUACGGGUGGCGAGUGGCGGACGGGUGAGGAAUACAUCGGAAUCUACUUUUUCGUGGGGGAUAACGUAGGGAAACUUACGCUAAUACCGCAUACGACCUACGGGUGAAAGCAGGGGAUCUUCGGACCUUGCGCGAUUGAAUGAGCCGAUGUCGGAUUAGCUAGUUGGCGGGGUAAAGGCCCACCAAGGCGACGAUCCGUAGCUGGUCUGAGAGGAUGAUCCGCCAACUGGGACUUGAAAAAGGGCCCAGACCCUCAGGGGAGGCAGGGGGGGGAAAUUUGGAAAAAGGGGCGAAACCCUGUCCAAGCCUGGCCGGGGGGGUGAAGAAGGCUUUCGGUUUGUAAACCCUUUUUGUGGGAAAAAAAAAGAAGCAGGUUAAACCCCCGUUGUUUGGAGGGUCCCAAAAAAAAAAGCACCGGCAAAUUUCUU
rnacentral:rRNA from 1 species